UUUCCUACCCAUGGGUAUCGGGGAGCCACACUGUGAUUGCCUUGCCUUUGUGGAACUUGACCUGGGCGACGCCCUAGUUGGGCGACGCCUUAACUGGGCGAUGCCUUCACCUAGGCGACGCCUUACCUUGGCGACGCUUCCUCUUGGCGACGCUGGCACUUGGCGUCUCUUCACCUAGGCGACGCCUUAUGCUGACUUUGACCCCC
rnacentral:lncRNA from 1 species